ACCACUUCUUGGCUCCUUGGAGCUAAGAUCAAAGUGUAGUGUCUGUUCUUAUCAGUUUAAUAUCUGAUAUGUCCUUUAUUUGAGGACUGUGUAUUAAAUUGAUUUUUGAAACCAGGGAUGGAAUAGGAGCAUGCAUUGACCUGGUAUUGCAGUGCCUUCAGGAAUAGUGGAGGGGAG
ensembl:snRNA U2 U2 spliceosomal RNA